AGUGAACGCUGGCGGUAGGCCUAACACAUGCAAGUCGAACGGCAGCACAGUAAGAGCUUGCUCUUACGGGUGGCGAGUGGCGGACGGGUGAGGAAUACAUCGGAAUCUACUUUUUCGUGGGGGAUAACGUAGGGAAACUUACGCUAAUACCGCAUACGACCUACGGGUGAAAGCAGGGGAUCUUCGCACCUUGCGCGAUUGAAUGAGCCGAUGUCGGAUUAGCUAGUUGGCGGGGUAAAGGCCCACCAAUGCGACGAUCCGUAGCUGGUCUGAGAGGAUGAUCGGCCACACUGGAACUGGGACACGGUCCAGACUCCUACGGGAGGCAGCAGUGGGGAAUAUUGGACAAUGGGCGCAAGCCUGAUCCAGCCAUACCGCGUGGGUGAAGAAGGCCUUCGGGUUGUAAAGCCCUUUUGUUGGGAAAGAAAAGCAGCAGGUUAAUACCCCGCUGUUCUGACGGUACCCAAAGAAUAAGCACCGGCUAACUUCGUG
rnacentral:rRNA from 1 species